CUUCAAUUGAGUUCAGCUAGGAAACUCACUGAAUCAGACCAACAACUUAAAUUUCAAUACCACAAAGGCCCUCUUCUAACCGGUAAAAUUUCAGUAAACCUCAUUUGGUAUGGAAAAUUCAAACCAUCUCAACGAGCGAUUAUAACUGAUUUCAUAACCUCGUUAUCUUCUCCCAUAAAACCAACCACCGCAUCACAACCAUCAGUUGCCACGUGGUGGAAAUCAACUGAAAAAUAUUACCAACUCACUAACAACAAGAAAUCAGUUAACCUAGCUCUCUCACUAGGUUCUCAAAUUCUUGACGAGAAAUACUCUUUAGGAAAAUCUCUCACAACUAACCAAAUCCUUAAUCUCGCAUCAAAAGGACAACAACAAAACGCCAUCAACGUUGUCCUAACAGCUGCUGAUGUGUUAGUUGACGGUUUUUGUUCAAGUAGGUGUGGAACCCAUGGUUCUUCUUAUGGUGCACGCGUAAAUGGAAAGAGAAACAAGUUCGCGUACAUUUGGGUUGGAAAUUCGGAGACACAAUGUGCUGGUCAAUGCGCGUGGCCAUUUCACCAACCAAUUUAUGGUCCACAAAGUGCACCGUUGGUUGCACCAAAUAACGAUGUGGGUCUUGACGGAAUGGUUAUAAAUGUUGCUAGUCUUUUAGCUGGAACCGUAACAAAUCCUUUUGGUAAUGGUUAUUUUCAAGGACCUAAAGAAGCUCCUUUGGAAGCUGCUUCGGCUUGCACCGGUGUUUAUGCUAAAGGAGCUUAUCCUGGUUAUGCUGGGGACCUUUUGCUGGACAAAACAAGUGGUGCUAGCUAUAAUGCAAAUGGUGAUAAUGGAAGGAAGUAUUUGUUGCCUGCUAUUGUUGACCCUAAAACCUCGGCUUGUUCUACAUUGGUAUAAAGUAAGAGUGUUUAGUUGUUAGGCAAUGAGAGAUUCUUUGAUUUGUUAAUUCAAUUAGUUGUUAUAGCCUCGAUAAUUCUUUGAUUCUUUGUAAUUUUAAUAAAUAAAUAAUAUCAAUAUUAUUAUGUCCUCCAUAAAUAAUGUUAUUGAAUGAAGCAAAGAUAUCAUAAUUUUACCAUUAUAGUUUUAUUAUAUACUGAUGCAUUAUAAAUAGAAAGUGAAAAAGAAAAAGAGCAAUGCUAUAAAUAAAUAGUGAAAAAUCUUGAGUUGAGAGUUAUGAUGAGAUUUGCAUCAAGCCCUAUAGUUGGCAAGUUGACUAUGAAUGUGACUAAUACACCGUUCAAUUCCAAAUCAAGCCAAGCUACUUAAUAUUAAAUUUAAUUUUUUUCCAUUUUUUCCUUUUUAAAAUAAAGGGUUGGGAGUGUUGAAGCACAUAGUAUAAAUUAAAUGGUAAAAUUGAAAAAGAAAUAGUUAAUAUUAUACUGAAAAUUGAAGUAAUACUCGAUUUUAGAUACAAUGAGUAUUUUGAAUGAUUAAAUAAUUCAAUUUCUUGAUGAAAUCAUUGUAAGAUCGUGUAAACUAAUUUCAUAUUUCGUCAUCGUGAGUUUAACUCAGUUGUUAUGUACAAUGCAUAAUAUAUAGAAGGUUUGUGGUUCGAAUCCCGACCACAAUUAAAAAAAGAAAACUAAUUUCAUAUUUCCAUAAACAACCCUUAAAAUAUUGCUAAAAAAGUAAAUAUGUAUGGAUAAAUGGCGUUAAUUUCAUAAAUCCAACUUCAACUAAUGCAUAUGCAAUGGUAAAAUAAUAAUUUUUUGGUCUAUGUUCUCUCUCUUUUUUUUUUUUUUUUUUUAUAUAUAACAAAGGUUGCCUUUUCUUGCCAUAAAAUAUAAUAAAGAUUAUCUUUAAAAAAAAAUUUGUUAAGGGUUUAGUUUAAAAUUAUAAUCUUAUCAUUAUUGUCAAUAUUAAUUUUUUAUCAAGUACGUUAGAAGUUAGAAUUUCACCUUUAAAUUGAAUAAGUCGUGAAUCCAAAAUUCAAACCUGAACCCUACGUUUAUAAUAUAAUGUCCCUAUCAAUUGAGUUAUACUCACGAAGACUCUUCAUUGUCAAUAUAACUCACAAAACAUUUCAUCAUAGUUGAUCCAUAAUAGAAUCCUCGCAAUUACUGACCAUAUUCAAUAUACAAUUACUACUAAAAAAAAGUGGAGAAUUCACCAACACCCUUUCAUUUUGGAACCUGUAGAUCAACAGACUAAUGUCAUGUUAGAGUCGAACUUGACGAUGGAUACGUCACCUAGUACAACUCAACAGUCUUUGGUGGCGGUUCAAGAAACAAAUACGAAUGCUACUCUUGGGCAUUAUGAGGCGUCAAUUGAUCCGACUCAACAAAAGGAAAUUAAUCUUGUUCAACAUUUGUUGAUUCAAAGAAAAUUGUUGUGGUACCAUUUACGCCUUAUCUUACAAAAGGUCAAAAAAAGAAAAUUAGCAAGGCAACAUAUCACAACAAAGGAUUGACCCCCAACUUAAGGCGACAACGCUCUCGAACCUCGCUCUCAUAACCGCUCGAGGGAGAGUAACCGUUGGACGACGAAUCUACCAUAUUCUCAGCAGUUUCAAAGCAAAUACUCAUCUUUGUCAACCCAAAAAACGAAGGAAAUGUACAAAAUGCAAAGGAAGAAAGGAAGUACCUUUGAAGUUCAAAGGUUUUUCAGAAAAAAGAGGCAAAACUUUGUAGAACCGUAAACCCCAGAAAUGCAGCCUAGAGAGGAAGGAUUUUCGCGCAAGUUGGUCGGAGGAAAAACUGGGAAAAGAAAACAAUACACUUCUAGGUGAAGUUUAAGAGUGAAUGCAGAAUAUCUGAAACCAUGAAGAUAAAGAGCGUAAAAGUUGGAAACAAAAAGUUUCCCUUCUUUUAUAGGCUUCAAAAGUAUCCAGAUCGACGAUUCAGAAGAGAAGAAACCUUGAAACCAAAGGUUUCUGAUUCAACGAUUAAUGGCAAUAUGACCUCGAACCACGAAGGGCACUCAAGUGGCACGCGCGUGAAGCGCAAAGGCCGGUGCGUGUGCGGGCCACGAAGCAUGCACGUGGAAAGUAAAACUAAACAACCAUCACGUUAUGAACGUUUCAGUUUGAAGCAUUAAAUGCCAACUGCUCCCACUAACUCGCAUGGGGCGCCACCUCCUCGAGGAAGGAAAAACUUCUCGCAAAUGUAAAACUACAGAGGCGCCAACAUGUGAAGGCGCCUGAUCGUAUGCCUCUCUUCACAGCUAAAAGCCAUUGCGCCUUAAAUGCAUCAACAGUUUUGGGGACAAAUGUUCUGGACCAGUUAGAAGACCAAUCUUACGUUGACACGUGGCCUGGCCUACACAGCCUUAAGGCUCUGCGCCUAAAGGAACACGCCAGCUUAAAUGCAUUGUGCCACACAGGAGCGCCCGCGAUGAUAACCUUACAUGUGUCCUCUAAUCGUCCCUAAUCACACGCCGCAAAACUCGAAGACGGUUACUCUCAACGCGCGCCUAUAUAAGGGUGACCUUGCUUCACCCCCAAGGUAUGAUUCACUUUUCACAACACCUUCUAAACACUCUUUCUCAAUUCCAUUACUGACUUGAGCGUCGGAGUGCUAACGUGUCUGAAGACACCUUUUGUCCCACUGCAAGGACUCGUCACCACCGUACCAGAAACCAUCACCGUCACAUCGGAGCACUUUCCACCACUGUUACCUCUCAUCCAUCCUCACCGGACAAAUCAAAACUUCUUCUGCAAACCUUUGAACCUUAAAACUUAUCUUAAACCUGAUGAACCCCCAAUCUCAACUCACGUAAACUUAUGAAGCAAAAAAAAAAAACACAAAUAAAGAAUAUAUAAAGAGAUCACCCAAAACAAGCGAAGAUAAAAAUUGCACAUUCUUGAUACGAGCAAAAUAAGUGCAAUUUUCUUAAAUUAUACUUCACAUAUCCCUCAUUAUAAAAUCCGUUGCAAAAAAAUUGUUUAUCCUUAAUACAUGAUUAUCCAUAAAUUUUAAGUACAUUGCUUUUUUUUUUUUCUUUUUUCUUUCUAAAUAUCAAUUAUUAAUAAGAGUUUAAUGGUGGUGGAUCGACAUUUCAAAACAUUUUUGCACACACAACCAAAAAACAUUCAGAAUUCUCACAUAAAUUAAAAAUAUUAAUUGGCGUGACGAUUUUAAAUAUUUUAAUUGAUUGUGUGCAAAAUUAUUUUGAAUUGUCGAUACACUACCAUUAAUCUCUAUUAAUAUUACCAAUCUAUCUUAGAAUAUAUUUUAAUAUAGUAACAUUGAAAAUAUUUACACAAAAAGAUAUUUAAUAAUAAUUAGAGUCGACAUUUGGAACAAAUUUAUUAUUUCUUCAACUUUUUUUUAGCACGAUUUUUAUAAGAGAUGAAUAGAAUAAAAGUGAUUGAUCAUCAAUCACGCAAAAGAAGAGUUGUUACGCUCUUCGAUGGAGAAUGGACCCAAAAGCUAGGGGCAUGCCUUGUACAAAGAAUACACAGCUUUGUCGUUUUGUUUCAUAGCUGUGCUGUUGCCUGUUACUGUCCCAAAUCAAUGAAUUCAUGCAAACUGGAAUAACAAAAUAACAACGCGUGAUAUAGCUGGCACAUCCACCACUCACUCCACUCAUCCUCCUACAUAAUUUAACUUCAACUAUAUAUAUACCUACAACUACAUCUUACAUUUCCAUCACCUCACAACAUUUCCACAUUCCCUUCUACUUCAUACUUUGUUCUAUCUCAAAAUGGCAUCUUUUAAGUUAAGUGUUAUCUUCACCCUUUUUCUCACAAUUUCACUACUUCAAUUGAGUUCAGCUAGGAAACUCACUGAAUCAGACCAACAACUUAAAUUUCAAUUCCACAAAGGCCCUCUUCUAACCGGUAAAAUUUCUGUAAACCUUAUUUGGUAUGGAAAAUUCAAACCAUCUCAACGAGCGAUCAUAACUGAUUUCAUAACCUCGUUGUCUUCUCCCAUAAAACCAAAAACCACAACACAACCAUCGGUUGCCACGUGGUGGAAAUCAACUGAAAAAUAUUACCAACUCACUAACAACAAGAAAUCAGUUAACCUAGCUCUAUCACUAGGUACUCAAAUUUUGGACGAGAAAUACUCUUUAGGAAAAUCUCUCACAACUAACCAAAUCCUUAAACUCGCAUCAAAAGGACAACAACAAAACGCCAUCAACGUUGUCCUAACAGCCGCUGAUGUGUUAGUUGACGGUUUUUGUUCAAGUAGGUGUGGAACCCAUGGUUCUUCUUAUGGUGCACGCGUGAAUGGAAAGAGAAACAAGUUCGCAUACAUUUGGGUUGGAAAUUCAGAGACACAAUGUGCUGGUCAAUGCGCGUGGCCAUUUCAUCAACCAAUUUAUGGUCCACAAAGUGCUCCGUUGGUUGCACCAAAUAACGAUGUGGGUCUUGACGGAAUGGUUAUAAAUGUUGCUAGUCUUUUAGCUGGAACCGUAACCAAUCCUUUUGGUAACGGUUAUUUUCAAGGACCAAAAGAAGCUCCUUUGGAAGCUGCUUCGGCUUGCACCGGUGUUUAUGCUAAAGGAGCUUAUCCUGGUUAUGCUGGGGACCUUUUGGUGGACAAAACAAGUGGUGCUAGCUACAACGCUAAUGGUGAUAAUGGAAGGAAGUAUUUGUUGCCUGCUAUUGUUGAUCCUAAAACUUCAGCUUGUUUUACAUUGGUAUAAAGAAUAAUUGUUUUGUUGUUAGGCAAUGAGAGAUUCUUUGAUUUAUUCAUUCAAUUAGUUGUUAUAACCUCGAAAUUAAUCUUUUAUUCUUUGAUUCUUUUUAAUCUUAAUAAAUAAAUAAUAUCAAUAUUAUUAUAUUGUCCUCCAUACAUGCAACACAUGUACAGACGGACGACGGUGCACAUGGCAUACUCUAUCCAUCUCAACGAUAAACAUUCACACAAAUCAAAUUUUAUUGAAUGAAGCAAAGAUAUCAUAAUUUUACCAUUGUAGUCUUACUAUAUAUCCUGAUGCAUAAUAAAUAGAAAGUGAAAAGAAAAAAAAAUAGAACGUGAAAAAUUGAGUUGAGAGUUAUGAUGAGAUUUGCAUGAAGCUUAUAGUUGGCCAGUUGACUAUGAAUGUGACUAAUACACCGUUCAAUUCCAAAUCAAGCUACUUAAUAUUAUUAUAAUUUUUUUUCCUUUUUUUGGUAUUAAAUUUAAUUUUUCCAUUUUUUUUUCUUUUUAAAAGAAAGAGUUGGGGAGUGUUGAAGCACAUAGUAUAAAUUAAAUGGUAAAAUUGAAAAAGAGAUAGUUAAUAUUAUACUGAAAAUUGAAAUAAUACUCGAUUUUAGAUAAACUUCUUUGGCAAAUGUCCCACUCAUAAUGUGACACAAUGAUUAUUUUGAAUGAUUUUUUUUUUUUUAAGAAAUUAUUUCAAUGACUAAAUAAUUCAAUUUCUUGAUGAUAUCAUCGUAAGUAGACAUGACAACACAACCCGUCCCCAUUGGAUCCCACCCACCCCGUCCCGAUUUUAAUGGGGAAAAGCCGAAUUGGUUAUGGGUGCGGGUUUGGAGAAAACCCGGAGUUUUAAUACGGGGGCGGGGGAUACUCACACUCGCCCUCGCCCCGUUUUUUUAAAUUACUAUUUUUAUCCUUAUUUUUUAUAGUCAUAUUACUCAUAUACCCUUCUUAAUCUUAACAUAGAAGCUUUUGUUUUAAUUAUCUUGCCACUAAACAUAUUUUUUCACGAUGAUGUUAUGAUCUCUAAUGAAUUUAGAAGCUUUUGUUAUUAGCUCUUUUUGUUAUUGUGAAAAAAUAAAAUAAAAAAUUGUCUACAAUUUUCGCGGGUGGGGUUGGGGAAAUCCGUCCCCGUUGGGGCAGGUCCGGGUGUAAAAUUUCUAUCCAGACGGGUUUGGGGGUGGGGGCGGGGCUGGGUACAAUGAAACAGGGACGGGGCCGGGUAUGUUAAAACUUGCCCCCGCCCCGUUGCCAUGUUUAAUUGUAAGAUCAUGUAAAUUAAUUUUUUUCCGUGAAUUUAGUUCAGUUGAUAAGGACAAUGCAUAAUAUAGAUAAGAUUCGAUUUUUCAGACAAAAAAAAAAAAAAAACUAAUUUAUUUCCAAAAACAACCCUUAAAAUAUUACUAAAGAAGUAAAUUUGUAUGGAUAAAUGGCGUUAAUUUCAUAAUUCCAACUUCAACUAAUGCAUAUGCAAUGGUUUAUAUAAAAAAGGUUGCCUUUUCUUGUCGAAAAAUAUAAUAGAGAUUAUCUUUAAAAAAAAAAUAAUGUUAAGGGUUCAGUUUAAAAUUAUAAUCUUUAUCAUUAUUGUCAAUAUUAAUUUUUUUAUCAAGUAGGUUAGUGUUAGAAUUUCAUCUUUAAAAUGCAUAAGUCGUGAAUCCAAAAUUCACACCAUAUCAACUAAGUUAUGCUCACGAAGACUCUUUAUUAUCAAUAUUACUCACAAAACAUUUCAUCAUAGUUGAUCCAUAAUAGAAUCCUCGCAAUUACUACCAUAUUCAAUAUACAACUACUAUUAAAAAAAAGUGAAGAAUUCACCAACACCCCUUCAUUUUGGAACCUCUAGAUCAACAGGCUAAUGCCAUGUUAGAGUCGAACUUAACGAUGGAUACGUCACCUAGUACAACUCAACAGUCUUUGGUGACGGUUCAAGAAACAGAUACGAAUGCUACUCUUAGGCAUUCUGAGGCGUCAAUUCAUCCGACUCUACAAAAGGAAAUUGAUCUUGUUCAGCAUUUGUUGAUUCAAAGAAAAAUGUUGAGGUGCCAUUUACGCAUUAUCUUACAAAAGGUCAAAAAUAGAAAAUUAGCAAGGCAACAUAUCACACCCGAUCUAUGAAUUCCCCUAUAGAACCGAAGGGUGGUUGAGCAGCCUCUUUUUCUUUUGGGCCAUUUUUUUCUUUCUUCGUUUAGUUUUUUUUUGUUUUUUUCUCUUACUUUCUUUCGGUUUUGUUUUGAGGGUUUUGGUUUAGCCCCCUCUUGUAUAGUUUCUUUCUUUUUUAUUUAUAUUAUGAGUGGGUGGCAGUGUAAGGCUUUCUUGAGAUGCCAACGGUGUUGUGAUGUCCGAAUGAUCCACUCGAAAAUCAGUUGUUAGAAUUAACAGGUCUUCAAAUCGUUCAUUUAAAAAAAAGGAAACCCGAUUUUUCAAACUCUCAUUGUUGUUUUAACUCGCUCUAUUUUAUUGAAAAAAAAUAAAAUACAUUUACACUUUGCAAGACUAUAUCUAUGUGUUUGUGUCUUGUUAGACUUUGUAGAUCUCUUGUUAUUUGUUAAUAACUUGAUAAUUUUAAUUUAUCUGUAUAUUUAUGUUUUUUUUUUUCUUCCAUGUCUUGCUAAUAUAUAAGCAUUUGUGUUUGACCAUAAAGUUUAUUAAAGAUUUUAGUAUUUUUCAAUAACAUUUUUAACUUACUAAAAUGUAUUUUCUAUUUAUAUACACGUUUAUUUGUUUUGAUAACUAUUUUAUUGGUGCAAAAUAUCUACCAAUAAUAUUAAUGAUUAUUCUCCGCUUCAGAACCUAUUUUUCAAAUUCAAGGGAUCUCCUCUCGGAACAACAUAUUUUUCAUCCACCGUGCGUGGAUCUGAGACCUUAAGAGAUCCGAGUAAAAUUCCACAAAGACCAACAUAAUGUUAGUGUGUAUAUAUUUAUUGAGUGUAGCUACCGAUAGUUGAUGCUUAUUCUGCGAAACUAGAAUUUUCAAUGACAUCUAUUUGUUUUAAUUAAUAUUACAUAUAUAGAGACUCAAUAAUAAUUUUAUGUGUUCUAAAUUUCUACAUGAUCCUAUCUUUGUUGUUUUGUCUAGUUUUCCACUCGUGCCGAAUUUAAUUGAGCAGUGUUGACAACACUUUUGUUUUAACAUUCUCUUCAACAUUUACUUUUUUAUUUGCUUAAAUCAAAUAGGUGUCACACUUUAAAAUUGAAUUACACUUGUUAUGGUCAUAUAUUAACGUCAUCCAAUAAAAAAAUAAGUGUUGAUGAGAAUGUUGAAAAUAAAGUGUCAUCAAAAUUUCUUAUUUUAAUUUGAACAUGUUGUGUUUAAAUCUCAUUUUUCACAACAAAUGUGAUGUUUUACCGAUACCCUAAUGUGUGUACGAGGGUAUGAAGGUAAGACUAAGAACUAAGAAACUAUACGGUAUAUAUACUUUAUCUCAUUUUUUGUUACAUUGCAUCAAAAACCCACAUGAUAUGUCAUGUUAGCCAUGUCAUCUAACUUAGAUUGAAAGAUGAAAUUAAAGACUAAACCAAUGGGGGCUAUUCAGAGAAAUUUAUUGGAUCAUCUUAUGUCGUUUUGUGGGUUAGGGGGUAUGUCAAAAAUGUUCGGGUGGCUCUUAACAUCAUUUGGGUUUUGGAUGUGUGGGGUUAUUUAGCACCAGAGAAAUAGACUCAAAUUCAAUCAUAAGGAGGAAUAUUUGCAAUCUUAUGCGAAAAAGUUAAGCUUUAAUCAUUUUCGUGGUUGAAAUUAAGAUAUAUUACUUUCGAUUUCGAUUAUCAUUUUUUGAGGCUUAAUCAUAUUCAUUGCCUAACUGUUCUAACUUAGCUUAUUGUAUCUUCUUUUGUUUUGUUUAUCUUGUAAAGUUAAGUCGUUUCUGAUACAUCUUGUGCUGAAAGAUUUGUUUUGGUUGGUAAUUUAUAUAUUUCAUUUUGGUCUCUUAGAAAAAACUAACAAUGGGGAUAUAGGGAUUAAAAAAAUUGUUAAAAAAACAUAGGGAUAAGAUCUAAAAUAGAGAAUUGAAUGACUAAAAUUGGCUAUUUACAUAAGUAUACGUAUGGAAGUUUUGCAAAUGUCCUUUUAACCUUAAAACUUAUCUUAACAUUGAUGAGUCUGAAUCUCAACUCUCGUAAACUUUUAUGUAAAAAAAAAAAAAAAAAAACACAAAUGGAGAAAAUAUAAAGACAUUACCUAAAACAAGUGAAGAUUAAAAUUGCACAUUCUCAAUACAAUCAAAUUAAGUGCAAUUUUCUUAAAUUAUACUUCAUAUAUCGCUAAUUAUAAGAUCUGUUUUAUUUUUAAAGGUCUAAUUAUAAGAUUUGUUACAAAAAUUUGUUUGUCCCUUAAUACAAAAGUAUCUAUAAAUUUUGGGGUAAUAGUCCCUUUGGUCCAUUAAUUUGUAAUGAGCAGUUACAAUGAUCCUUAAAUGUAUAAAAGUAUCAAAAUAGUCUAUGAUUGUGCAAUUUGUUAGUCAAAAUAGUCUUUGAUGUUAAAAUACUUCAUUAAUAUUGUCAUAUUACCCCGUCAAUAUACUUACUUAUUGUCAUAUCAGUCUUUAUAAAUACUUAAUUAUUGUCAUUUUAAUCCUUAUAUGAAAAGAGUUAUUGUGAACGUACAUUGAGAGAUUACUUUAGCGCCAGAGACCAUUUUGAGUAACAGAGUGCACAAUCAGAGACUAUUUUAAAAUUUUGAUAUAUCGAGAGACUAUUGUGACUACUCAUUACACAUUCAAGAACCAAAUGAUUAUCCCAUAAAUUUUUAAAUACAUUGAUUAUUUUUUUUCUAAAUAUCUAUUAUUAAUACAACCACUCUAUCUUAGAAUAUAAAAAAUAUUUACAUUGAAAGUAUUUAUACAACAAGAUAUUUUAUAAUAGUUAGAGACAUUUGGAACAAAUUUAUUCUUUCUUAUAACUUUUCUUAGCAUGAUUUUUAUAAGAGAUGGAUAGAAUAAAAGUGAUUGAUCAUCAAUCACGCAAAAGAAAAGUUGUUACGCUCUUCCAUGGACAAUGGACCCAAAAGCUAGUGGCAUACCUUGUACAAAGGAUACACAGCUUUGUCGUUUGGUUUCAUACAUGUGCUGUUAAUUGUCCCAAAUCUAUGAAUUCAUGCAAACUGGAAUAAUAAAAUAUCAACGCGUAAUAUAGCUGGCACAUCCUCCACUCACCCUCCAACAUAAUUUGACUUCAACUAUAUACCUUUCUAUUUUACACGUUAAUUAAUUCCUUUUAAAUACACUUUCCACUAUAUAUAUACCUACAACCCCAUCUUACAUUUCCAUCAGCACAUAACAUUUCCACAUUCCUUCUACUUCAUACUUUGUUCUAUCUCAAUACAUAUCCCAAAUGGCAUCUUUUAAGUUAAGUGCAAUCUUUACUCUUUUUCUCACAAUUUCACUACUUCAUUUAAUCUCAGCUGCUAGAAAAUUCACUGAAUCAGACCAACAACUUAAAUUUCAAUACCACAAAGGCCCUCUUCUCACCGGAAAAAUCUCAAUCAACCUCAUUUGGUAUGGAAAAUUCAAACCAUCUCAACGAGCCAUCAUAACUGAUUUCAUAACCUCCCUCUCUUCUCCUAAACAAGGAACAACCACAUCACAACCAUCCGUUGCCACGUGGUGGAAAUCAACCGAAAAAUAUUACCAACUCGCGAACAAUAAGAAAUCAGUUAACCUAGCUCUCUCACUAGGUUCUCAAAUUCUCAAU
rnacentral:lncRNA from 1 species